GUGAUGUAUUUGUGUGUCAAGUUGA
rnacentral:piRNA from 1 species